rnacentral:misc_RNA from 1 species
GAACUGCGAUAAGUAAUGUGAAUUGCAGAAUUCAGUGAAUCAUCGAGUCUUUGAACGCACAUUGUGCCCCCUGGCAUUCCGGGGGGCAUGCCUGUCCGAGCGUCAUUGCUGCCCUUCAAGCCCGGCUUGUGUGUUGGGUCGUCGUCCCCUCCGGGGGACGGGCCCGAAAGGCAGUGGCGGCACCGCGUCCGGUCCUCGAGCGUAUGGGGCUUUGUCACCCGCUCGAUAAGGACCGGCCGGGCGCCAGCCGGCGUCUCCAACCUUUUUUUCUCAGGUUGACCUCGGAUCAGGUAGGGAUACCCGCUGAACUUAAGC